AACAAACGCUGGCGGCGUGCCUAAUACAUGCAAGUCGAACGGGGAAAGCUUUCGGGUGAGUACUAGUGGCGCACGGGUGAGUAACGCGUGGAUAAUCUGCCUUAGAGUGGGGGAUAACUAGUCGAAAGAUUAGCUAAUACCGCAUAAGACCACAAGAACUGCGGUUCAAGAGGUCAAAGGUUUUUCGCUCUAAGAUGAGUCCGCGUAAGAUUAGCUAGUUGGUGAGGUAACGGCUCACCAAGGCAACGAUCUUUAACUGGUCUGAGAGGAUGAUCAGUCACACUGGAACUGAGACACGGUCCAGACUCCUACGGGAGGCAGCAGUAGGGAAUAUUGCACAAUGGAGGAAACUCUGAUGCAGCGACGCCGCGUGAGUGAUGAAGGCCUUCGGGUCGUAAAGCUCUGUCGCAGGGGAAUAACACAAUGAAUGUACCCUGUAAGAAAGGAUCGGCUAACUUCGUGCCAGCCGCCGCUGUAACAC
rnacentral:rRNA from 1 species